rnacentral:rRNA from 1 species
UACAGAGGGUGCGAGCGUUAAUCGGACUUACUGGGCGUAAAGCGCGCGUAGGCGGCCUUGCAAGUCGGGUGUGAAAUCCCCAGGCUUAACCUGGGAACUGCAUUCGAGACUGCAUUGCUAGAGUAUGGGAGAGGGAAGUGGAAUUUCCGGUGUAGCGGUGAAAUGCGUAGAUAUCGGAAGGAACAUCAGUGGCGAAAGCGACUUCCUGGACCAAUACUGACGCUCAUGUGCGAAAGCGUGGGGAGCAAACAGG